rnacentral:tRNA from 1 species
GCCGAAGUGGCGAAACUGGCAGACGCGCAAGUUUCAGGUACUUGUGUCCGCAAGGACGUGCAGGUUCAAGUCCUGUCUUCGGCA